rnacentral:rRNA from 1 species
GACGAACGCUGGCGGCGUGCUUAACACAUGCAAGUCGAACGGUGAUCUUGGGCGCUUGCGCCCCGGUGAUCAGUGGCGAACGGGUGAGUAACACGUGAGUAACCUGCCCCUGACUCUGGAAUAACCCCGGGAAACCGGGGCUAAUACCGGAUACGACACCAAUCCGCAUGGGUAUGGGGUGGAAAGUUUUUUCGGUUGGGGAUGGGCUCGCGGCCUAUCAGCUUGUUGGUGAGGUAGUGGCUCACCAAGGCGACGACGGGUAGCCGGCCUGAGAGGGCGAUCGGCCACACUGGGGCUGAGACACGGCCCAGACUCCUACGGGAGGCAGCAGUGGGGAAUAUUGCACAAUGGGCGGAAGCCUGAUGCAGCGACGCCGCGUGAGGGAUGACGGCCUUCGGGUUGUAAACCUCUUUCAGCUCUGAAGAAGCGGAAGUGACGGUAGGAGCAGAAGAAGCACCGGCUAACUACGUGCCAGCAGCCGCAGUAAAAC